rnacentral:rRNA from 1 species
AGAGUUUGAUCAUGGCUCAGAACGAACGCUGGCGGCAUGCCUAACACAUGCAAGUCGAACGCUUGUCGGGCUUCGGUCCGGCAAGAGUGGCGCACGGGUGAGUAGCGCGUGGGAACCUGCCCUGUUGUGGGGGAUAACCGAGGGAAACUUCGGCUAAUACCGCAUAAGCCGGUUGUCUUGAGAGAGAUGGCCGGGAAAGAUUUAUCGCGACAGGAGGGGCCCGCGUCGGAUUAGCUGGUUGGUAGGGUAACGCCCUACCAAGGCGAUGAUCCGUAGCUGGUCUGAGAGGAUGAUCAGCCACACUGGGACUGAGACACGGCCCAGACUCCUACGGGAGGCAGCAGUGGGGAAUAUUGGACAAUGGGGGCAACCCCUGAUCCAGCAAUGCCGCGUGAGUGAUGAAGGCCUUAGGGUUGUAAAGCUCUUUCGCCCGCGACGAUGAUGACGGUAGCGGGAGAAGAAGCCCCGGCUAACUUCGUGCCAGCAGCCGCGGUAAUACGAAGGGGGCGAGCGUUGUUCGGAAUCACUGGGCGUAAAGGGCGCGUAGGCGGCCCUCUUUGUCGCGUGUGAAAGCCCCGGGCUCAACCUGGGAACGGCGCGCGAAACGGGGGGGCUGGAGUUCGGGAGAGGAGAGUGGAAUUCCCAGUGUAGAGGUGAAAUUCGUAGAUAUUGGGAAGAACACCGGUGGCGAAGGCGGCUCUCUGGACCGAGACUGACGCUGAGGCGCGAAAGCGUGGGGAGCAAACAGGAUUAGAUACCCUAGUAGUCC